rnacentral:rRNA from 1 species
UACGUAGGGGGCAAGCGUUGUCCGGAAUCAUUGGGCGUAAAGCGCGUGUAGGCGGCUCGAUAAGUCUGCUGUGAAAGUCCAAGGCUCAACCUUGGGAUGCCGGUGGAUACUGUCGAGCUCGAGUCCGGAAGAGGAGUGUGGAAUUCCUGGUGUAGCGGUGAAAUGCGCAGAUAUCAGGAGGAACACCAAUGGCGAAGGCAACUAUCUAUUUCAAUCUGACGUUGAGGGACGAAAGCAUGGGGAGCAAACAGG